AGUCAGUGGUGAAAGCCCAUCGCUCAACGGUGGAACGGCCAUUGAUACUGUUAAACUUGAAUUAUUAGGAAGUAACUAGAAUAUGUAGUGUAGCGGUGAAAUGCUUAGAGAUUACAUGGAAUACCAAUUGCGAAGGCAGGUUACUACUAAUAUAUUGACGCUGAUGGACGAAAGCGUGGGUAGCGAACAGGAUUAGAUACCCUGGUAGUCCACGCCGUAAACGAUGGAUACUAGCUGUUGGGUGCAAACUCAGUGGCUAAGCGAAAGUGAUAAGUAUCCCACCUGGGGAGUACGUUCGCAAGAAUGAAACUCAAAGGAAUUGACGGGGGCCCGCACAAGCGGUGGAGCAUGUGGUUUAAUUCGAUGAUACGCGAGGAACCUUACCAAGGCUUAAAUGUAGAUUGACCGGUUUGGAAACAGAUCUUUCGCAAGACAAUUUACAAGGUGCUGCAUGGUUGUCGUCAGCUCGUGCCGUGA
rnacentral:rRNA from 1 species